AUAAAAACGGAUACAUAAAACAACCUAAACCAGCACAUAAAAAUUCACAGCCGAGUUACUCAGUUAGCCAUACCAUCAACGCACAAAGUGACGUCGCAUGAAUUUCUUAAACAAUAUUCCAAAAAUAGGAUAGACAAAAUUCAGGAUUAGAUUUUCAAUACUGAUAUAACAAUGAAAAUUACAACAUUAAUUAAUAUCAAAUUGUGGUAGUAA
rnacentral:lncRNA from 1 species